UACGAAGGAUUCGAGCGUUAUCCGGAUUUAUUGGGUUUAAAGGGUGCGUAGGUGGACUAAUAAGUCAGUGGUGAAAGCCCGCAGCUUAACUGCGGAACUGCCAUUGAUACUGUUAGUCUUGAGUACAGUUGAGGUGGGCGGAAUGUGUCAUGUAGCGGUGAAAUGCUUAGAUAUGACACAGAACACCGAUUGCGAAGGCAGCUCACUAAGCUGUAACUGACACUGAGGCAGCGAAAGUGUGGGUAGCAAACAGG
rnacentral:rRNA from 1 species